rnacentral:tRNA from 1 species
GCAGUUGUGGUUCAGUGGAAGAACUCCUGCCUUCCGUGUGGGAGACCUGGGUUUGAUUUCCAGCCAGUCCU